GUAGAGUAGCAAUACUCGAGAGUGGCGAACGGGUGAGUAAUAUAUCGGAACGUGCCCAGUCGUGGGGGAUAACGUAGAGAAAUUUACGCUAAUACCGCAUACGAUCUAAGGAUGAAAGCGGGGGAUCGCAAGACCUCGCGCGAUUGGAGCGGCUGAUAUCAGAUUAGGUUGUUGGUGAGGUAAAAGCUCACCAAGCCGACGAUCUGUAGCUGGUUUGAGAGAACGACCAGCCACACUGGGACUGAGACACGGCCCAGACUCCUACGGGAGGCAGCAGUGGGGAAUUUUGGACAAUGGGCGAAAGCCUGAUCCAGCAAUGCCGCGUGCAGGAAGAAGGCCUUCGGGUUGUAAACUGCUUUUGUACGGAACGAAACGGUCUGCUUUAAUACAGUGGGCUAAUGACGGUACCGUAAGAAUAAGCACCGGCUAACUACGUGCCAGCAGCCGCGGUAAUACGUAGGGUGCGAGCGUUAAUCGGAAUUACUGGGCGUAAAGCGUGCGCAGGCGGUUAUAUAAGACAGUUGUGAAAUCCCCGGGCUCAACCUGGGAAUUGCAUCUGUGACUGUAUAGCUAGAGUACGGUAGAGGGGGAUGGAAUUCCGCGUGUAGCAGUGAAAUGCGUAGAUAUGCGGAGGAACACCGAUGGCGAAGGCAAUCCCCUGGACCUGUACUGACGCUCAUGCACGAAAGCGUGGGGAGCAAACAGGAUUANAUACCCUGGUAGUCCACGCCCUAAACGAUGUCAACUGGUUGUUGGGUGCAUUANUACUCAGUAACGAAGCUAACGCGUGAAGUUGACCGCCUAGGGAGUACNNNCGCAAGGUUGAAACUCNANGAAUUGACGGGGACNCGCACNAGCGGUGGAUGANGUGGUUU
rnacentral:rRNA from 1 species